rnacentral:rRNA from 1 species
AGGGUUUGAUCAUGGCUCAGAACGUACGCUGGCGGCACGCCUAAUACAUGCAAGUCGAACGAAGUAGCAAUACUUAGUGGCAGACGGGUGAGUAACAUGUAGGUAUCUUCCCUUUGGUGAGGAAUAACACGAGGAAACUUGUGCUAAUACCUCAUAAGUCUUUACGGAGAAAGCUUUAUGCACCAUUGGAUGAGCCUGCACUUGAUUAGUUUGUUGGUGGGGUAAUGGCCUACCAAGACUGUGAUCAAUAGCUGAUUUGAGAGGAUGAUCAGCCACAUUGGGACUGAGACACGGCCCAAACUCCUACGGGAGGCAGCAGUGGGGAAUCUUGCACAAUGGAGGAAACUCUGAUGCAGCGAUGCCGCGUGAGUGAAGAAGGCCUUUGGGUUGUAAAGCUCUUUCGUCGGGGAAGAAAAUGACUGUACCCGAAUAAGAAGGUCCGGCUAACUUCGUGCCAGCAGCCGCGGUAAUACGAAGGGACCUAGCGUAGUUCGGAAUUACUGGGCUUAAAGAGUUCGUAGGUGGUUGAAAAAGUUGGUGGUGAAAUCCCAGAGCUUAACUCUGGAACUGCCAUCAAAACUUUUCAGCUAGAGUUUGAUAGAGGAAAGCAGAAUUUCUAGUGUAGAGGUGAAAUUCGUAGAUAUUAGAAAGAAUACCAAUUGCGAAGGCAGCUUUCUGGAUCAUUACUGACACUGAGGAACGAAAGCAUGGGUAGCGAAGAGGAUUAGAUACCCUCGUAGUCCAUGCCGUAAACGAUGUGUGUUAGACGUUGGAAAUUUAUUUUCAGUGUCGCAGCGAAAGCGAUAAACACACCGCCUGGGGAGUACGACCGCAAGGUUAAAACUCAAAUGAAUUGACGGGGACCCGCACAAGUAGUGGAGCAUGUGGUUUAAUUCGAAGAUACGCGCAGAACUCUUACCAACACUUGACAUGUUACGUCGCGACUUUAAGAGAUUAAAGUUUUCGGUUACGGCCGGACGAAACACAGGUGCUGCAUGGCUGUCGUCAGCUCGUGUCGUGAGAUGUUGGGUUAAGUCCCGCAACGAGCGCAACCCUCACUUUUAGUUGCCAUCAUUUAGUUGGGCACUCUGAAAGAACUGCCAGUGAUAAGCUGGAGGAAGGUGGGGAUGACGUCAAGUCCUCAUGGCCCUUACGUGUUGGGCUACACACGUGCUACAAUGGUAUCUACAACAGGAAGCGAAACAGCGAUGUUAAGCAAAUCCUUAAAAGAUACCUCAGUUCGGAUUGCACUCUGCAACUCGAGUGCAUGAAGCUGGAAUUACUAGUAAUCGUGGAUCAGCGUGCCACGGUGAAUGCGUUCCCGGGUCUUGUACACACCGCCCGUCACACCAUGGGAGUUGGUUCUACCUUAAGGCAAGGUUUAAAACCCUUGACUACGGUAUAGUCAGCGACUGGGGUGAAGUCAUAACAAGGUAGCCGUA